GGGAUGUCGUCCGUGUAUCUGCCAUAGCAGACGGGCGACAGGCAGCUUCCCUGAGGCACACCGGCUCGGAUGGGGCGCUCCGUGGACAGGGCGUCUUCAACCGCCACUUGAAAACGUCUGUCUCGCAAAAAGGACUUGGUUACAGAUUG